rnacentral:pre_miRNA from 1 species
CAAAUACUCCCUCCGUCCGGAAAUACUUGUCAUCAAAAUGGAUAAAAGGAAAUGUAUCUAGAUGUAUUUUAGUUUUAGAUACAUCUCUUUUUAUCCAUUUUGAUGACAAGUAUUUUCGGACAGAGGGAGUAGAAA